ACACUGAAAAAAAUAUGUUGUUGGAUUUACUUAAUUCAAUGGUGGACAUUUGUUGCACACAGAUGUUUUGCUUUGGCAGCAACUUAAACAAUUGAGUUAAAUUAACACAAUUUAUUCAUGUUCAAUAAACCUGUGCAAUUUGUGUUGAUAAAAUGUGACUUAAACAUGUUUUGAUGAAGUAAUUUGAGCUCUUGAAAUAUUUUAAUCCUUCACAAUUUUCUCACUUUAUCCCAACACCAUUCAAUAACUUUUACCCAAUACUACUUGGUCACUUAAAUACUACAUGUUAUCUUCAAAUUACAUUUUGCUAUUAUAUUCUAGUAUCAAAUACACAAUUUUCAAAUGGAGGCCUUAUAACAGAUUAUAUUGUUCUCUUCCAAGAUGGUUGCUGGCAUCCACCAGUAACCUUUCAAAACAAAAUGUCUAAUUUCACUGCAUUGACAGUAGGUAAAGAAUUAAACUGACAUUACUCCACUACUGAAUCUAUAUAAAUCAACAGUUAAAUAAUGUCAGUUCUUCCGUGUUCUCUGGAAUCAAUCACAGCAAAGAAAUUAGACUGUUUCUUUUGAAAAAUGUUGGGAAAGAACAAAUCAAAACAUUCUAUUUAAGGCCUCUGACGUCAAGAUUCAGUUAAACAACAAUUAUAACUAAACAAAUUUGAGGUAAUGUUAGUUUCCAUUAACAUUAAAUUAGGUUACUGAAUUGGCAAACACCUUCCUAUUAACACUACCCAUUUUACCCCAAUAACUAAAGAAAUUAGCACUUGCAGGUCAAAACCUUUAUUCAAGAGAUGCAAAAAUAACAUUGAUACAGUGACUGUCAAAAAUUACGGCACUGAUCAUACUGUGACAUCUUGGUUCAAAACAGCACACUUAGAAAUAUUCAACGUUCCUUACUUCAACUGAAUGAAACUGAAAAUACCAUUUCACACGACCCAUAUGGGAUAUUUAGACUGUAUAACUGUUCACGCUACAUCUCUUCACUAGUAAAAGAAAGAAAAAAUACAAAGAGAAAUUUAAAAAUGCUGCCAAAAUGCUGUACAGAGCAAAAGGAAAAACAAACAACAACAACAAAAACGGCUCGUCCUCAUGGCAGUUGCAGAGUAUAUAAAAAUGAACCCUGCGAUCUGUUCCUGGAAUUGAGCUUCAAAAAUGCAGCAGAACAAGUGUGAGAUUUAAAUGUCCUUUCACCUAGAGCUGAUCAGCUUGCAUGCAUAACAGUGAGCUUUCCUUGCAGGAGCAGUUUUGUCUUAGUUGUGAGUUUUUCUUGAGAGCUGAGUUGCUUCCAACUCCAUUACCAC
ensembl:lncRNA